AUUGAACGCUGGCGGCAGGCUUAACACAUGCAAGUCGAGCGGAGAUGAGGUGCUUGCACCUUAUCUUAGCGGCGGACGGGUGAGUAAUGCUUAGGAAUCUGCCUAUUAGUGGGGGACAACAUUCCGAAAGGAAUGCUAAUACCGCAUACGUCCUACGGGAGAAAGCAGGGGAUCUUCGGACCUUGCGCUAAUAGAUGAGCCUAAGUCGGAUUAGCUAGUUGGUGGGGUAAAGGCCUACCAAGGCGACGAUCUGUAGCGGGUCUGAGAGGAUGUUCCGCCACACUGGGACGUAGACACGGCCCAGACUGCUACGGGAGGCAGCAGUGGGGAAUAUUUGACAAUGGGGUGAACCCUGAUCCAGCCAUGCCGCGUGUGUGAAGAAGGCCUUAUGGUUGUAAAGCACUUUAAGCGAGGAGGAGGCUACUGAGACUAAUACUCUUGGAUAGUGGACGUUACUCGCAGAAUAAGCACCGGCUAACUCUGUGCCAGCCGCCGCCGUAAUAC
rnacentral:rRNA from 1 species